CGCGGGGCCAGGGGGUCAGGGGGCCGCCCCCCCUCAGCUGCUGGACGCAGGGCUCGGCCUUCGCCUCUCGGCUCGGGAGAGUCCUUGAGUACGGAGACCGGCUAGGAGGGUUGCAGCUGCCUCUUUUUGAAAGUUGGGUUGGGCCCCAAGAGUGACUUCCGACAGACCUUUCCACUCCCACCGUCUGUGGCCUGAGGGCCUUCCCUUCUCCUCCCGCCCACCCCUCUGGAUGUUUCGGGGAGUUAGAAGGGAGCUGGAUUGAGAGACUGUGUUAGGGGCGGGGGUAUGGAACGUAGUGGAAAGGGCAGAAAUUUGGAUCUCAGUUCGCGCCCACCCCGCAGGCGCCUCCCGCGAGCCGGGCCCUCUGUGAGUGAGACAAGCUCCCCUUCCUUUACGCGCCUCACCUGGCGCGUGGGGAGAGGUCGGCAGCCCUCCGCCGCAGAACCUCCGGAAGGGAUGUCCUCUGCCCUGCGCCUCUGGCCGGGGCUGUGGUCCCUCCAGGCCGUCGAGGGGAUGCUGAGGCCGGUCCCCAGAGGAGCAUGACUUGGCUGGUCCGGAGGAGCUCUGAGGGCAUGGGCAAUCUUGGCUCGCUGCAACCUCAGCUUCCAGAGUUCAAGCGAGUCUCCUGCUUCAGCCUCAUGAGUAGCUGGGACUACAGAUGCGUGCCACUACGUCCGUCUGAUGUUUGUAUUUUUAGUAGAGACAGGGUUUCACCAUGUUGGUCAGGCUGCUCUCGAACUCCAGAUCUCGUGAUCCGCCCGCCUGGGCCUACUAAAGUGCUGGGAUUACAGGCGUGAGCUAGAUCUGACUUUCUAGUGUCCUAGCCUUGGCCCGAUGGACAUGUCAUUUCUCUCAGCUCGUUUCUGUCCCCUAAAGUGAGAAUAUUGCCUGGGAAGAUUACAUUAGACGAUGUAUAUGCGAAGACACUUGAUAGCUGGUAUUGUCAUGAUUCUGAUUAGUUCACUACUGCUACUUUCCCUGUGGCCUAGGCUUUGCCUAUUUCCAGUGGGCGAGCUAGCUAGAUCCUCCUCCCUUAAAUAAGCCAGUGUUUUUAAGACAGAAUACUACUUGCAUAGUGGACAAUAAUAUCUUAAAGAACUGAGCAGGAUGAAAAGAAUUUGAUAGAAAGCAGGUUUGAGGAGCACAUUGGAGGUUGGCAGGUUUCGAGGCUGCUUGAGAGGACUUGGGCCGAUCUGGGCUGGGCUUGGACGUGACCCUGGCACCCAGGCAGGUGGAUCCCAGCUGGGGCUUCCAUUCACGACUUUCUGGUCCCUGGCAGGACAGAGCGGGAUGCCACCAGCUUGUCCAAAGGGAAGUUCCAGGAGCUCCUGGUGGGCAUCGUUGUGGAGAAUGACGCUGGCCGCGGCGAGAUCAACGAGUUGAAGCAGGUGGAAGGGGAGGCUUCGUGCAGCAGCCGCAAAGGAAAGCUGAUUUUCUUCUAUGAGUGGAACAUCAAACUGGGCUGGAAAGGCAUCGUUAAAGAAUCUGGAGUGAAGCACAAGGGAUUGAUUGAAAUACCCAAUCUUUCUGAGGAAAAUGAAGUAGAUGACACUGAGGUCAACGUUGAGUAAAAAGAAAGGAGAUGGGGUUAUACUGAAGGAUCUUAUGAAAACUGCAGGCACUGCCAAGGUCAGGGAGGCCCUUGGAGAUUACCUGAAGGCACUUAAGACGGAAUUUACAACGGGAAUGAUUUUACCAACGAAAGCUAUGGCAACCCAGGAAUUGACUGUCAAAAGAAAACUGAGUGGGAAUACCCUGCAGGUUCAGGCCUCAUCUCCAGUGGCACUGGGUGUAAGGAUUCCCACUGUGGCUCUUCACAUGAUGGAACUGUUUGACACAACUGUAGAGCAGCUGUAUAGCAUCUUCACUGUAAAGGAGUUAACAAAUAAGAAGAUCAUCAUGAAAUGGAGAUGUGGGAACUGGCCAGAAGAACACUAUGCCAUGGUUGCACUGAAUUUUGUGCCUACUCUAGGGCAAACAGAAUUACAAUUGAAGGAGUUCCUAUCUAUCUGUAAAGAAGAGAACAUGAAAUUCUGUUGGCAGAAGCAGCAUUUUGAAGAAAUAAAAGGUUCACUGCAGCUGACCCCCCUAAAUGGUUGAAUUAAAAUUUAUUAUAAGGCAUUACUUUUUGUAAGCGGAAAAAGUGUCACAUUUACCUCUUCCCUAUCUUUUGUUUAAAAGGACUGUCUUUAUUUUAUAUUGGAUGAAAUCUAUGAACAUAUAUACAAUGUAAAGCAUUGUUUGACUCUUUAUUAUAACUAGACACUGCAUUGAUUUAAAAGUAGCAAACAACCUGAAAUUAAGUAUUAACCUGACCUUCCAUCGAUAUUCCUCUGGAAAUAGGUAAGUCCUGAGUGCAGAUAGUUGAUGUUUCCCAAGCUGAAGCUUGUCCUAUAGCAAGCUUGCUUGCAGCUGUACUUUUAGUUCAAGAUGACAAAAAAUAAAUGGCAUGUUGACACUAUUCCUUUAUUUUACUUUAGGGUUUUUAAGGUGUGUAGAUCUUAGGUCGUAAAACAGUGGUAUAUUGCAUUCAAAAGCAUGUUGAGGUGAGGGCAAAUUGGCUGUGUUUUGCUCCACAUCUCCCUGCACAUCUCCCUGCUGUGGUUUUGCACUUCGGUGUGGAGAGGAUUGAGAAGUCUGUGGGGACACAUUAGUUCUGUGGACUGCUGGUAACACUUCCAGUGAAACAGCAUAUAAUGGAUAAAUGUUUCCCCCCUCUUUCACGGUUUUCUCACUACUUUCACCUGAGAAGACUGAAGCAACGUAUGUAAACAAAUGAAAAGUCAUCACAAUCAGUUUAAUUAAGUGCACAG
ensembl:lncRNA AHSA2P activator of HSP90 ATPase homolog 2, pseudogene